rnacentral:rRNA from 1 species
UACGGGGGGAGCAAACGUUGUUCGGAAUCACUGGGCGUAAAGGGCGUGUAGGCGGCUGGAUAAGUGGGAUGUUAAAUCCCCCGGCUCAACCGGGGACCUGCAUCUCAUACUGUUCAGCUCGAGCACAUCAGAGGAGACUGGAAUUCCCGGUGUAGCGGUGAAAUGCGCAGAUAUCGGGAGGAACACCAGUGGCGAAGGCGGCUUUCUGGGCCUUACCUGACGCUGAGGAGCGAAAGCUGGGGGAGCGAACAGG